rnacentral:rRNA from 1 species
UCUCCUGGAAACGGGUGGUAAUGCCGGAUGCUCCAGUUGAUCGCAUGGUCUUCUGGGAAAGCUUUCGCGGUAUGGGAUGGGGUCGCGUCCUAUCAGCUUGACGGCGGGGUAACGGCCCACCGUGGCUUCGACGGGUAGCCGGCCUGAGAGGGCGACCGGCCACAUUGGGACUGAGAUACGGCCCAGACUCCUACGGGAGGCAGCAGUGGGGAAUAUUGCACAAUGGGCGCAAGCCUGAUGCAGCGACGCCGCGUGAGGGAUGGAGGCCUUCGGGUUGUAAACCUCUUUUAUCGGGGAGCAAGCGAGAGUGAGUUUACCCGUUGAAUAAGCACCGGCUAACUACGUGCCAGCAGCCGCGGUAAUACGUAGGGUGCAAGCGUUAUCCGGAAUUAUUGGGCGUAAAGGGCUCGUAGGCGGUUCGUCGCGUCCGGUGUGAAAGUCCAUCGCUUAACGGUGGAUCCGCGCCGGGUACGGGCGGGCUUGAGUGCGGUAGGGGAGACUGGAAUUCCCGGUGUAACGGUGGAAUGUGUAGAUAUCGGAAAAAAACACC